GUCUCAGUUCGGAUUGGAGUCUGCAACCCGACUCCAUGAAGCUGGAUUCGCUAGUAAUCGCGCAUCAGCCACGGCGCGGUGAAUACGUUCCCGGGCCUUGUACACACCGCCCGUCAAGCCAUGGAAGCCGGGGGUGCCUGAAGUGCGCUGCCGCAAGGAGCGCCCUAGGGUAAAACCGGUGACUGGGGCUAAGUCGUAACAAGGUACC
rnacentral:rRNA from 1 species